AUCCUCCCCUCUCCUCCUCCUCUUCUCUUCUCUCUGGUAGGGUCUCCUGUCCUCUCCUUAGUGCUCUGUCCUCCUCUCUACUCUCUCAAAUAUUCUGCCACCCCCAACUCACGUUGGCGCCCCCCACACCCCUGUCUUCUAAAACCCACCUCCCCACCUCCCAGUGUCCUUGUUGCACCUCACACAUCGCCAUGGCAACGGCCCACGGAACCCCAUCAGCAUUUUCUACCAGUGCCAUGGCCUCUGCCUCACAAGCCCCUACCUCCGCCCCUAGACCCUGCCUCACAUGUCCGGCCGCGCAGGCACUGGUGUCAGAACCCACACUGGUCUCAGAACAGAACCCAGUCGAGACCCAAAGUGUUCUUUCGAAACCAUCUAUGGCUUUUGACACUUUUCUCUCUAUGGUACUAGAUGAAGAGCAAAUAGCAGCAGAUCAGCUGGCUGGCGGAGAGGAUUAUAUAUGAACAUUUAUAUAUAUGAAUAUAUAUAUAAAGGAAAAAAUGUAAAAGAUAUAGUUUGUUUUAAGUCAGCACAAUAUCUGAAAAUAAUACGCUACACAAGAGUGGAGUUUUCUGUCAUGAGCGCUUUACAUGUGGUAGGCUGUUCCAAAAAAAGAAAAAGAAAAGAAAAAACAGGAUUUUUCUAAAACUAUGUAGCAGAGCACUAGGUGUUAUCCAUCUGAUAAGAAUGUAAAGAUUCCCAGGCUCCCCGAGUGGAUCGGACCGGACUGCUGGGCCUGGCCCAGUUCUGCUGAGAUGUAGUCCUUACACUGCGGCUUGUCAACACACAGCAGGCCAUCGCCUUCCUCUCACUUCACUUCUCUUCUCUUAUCUUCUCUCAUCUUCUGUUUCUUUCUUUUGGUUUGGCUUUUGUUUAGUUUUUUCUCUUUUGAAGACACUGAGAGGUAAAGUCUGUAGCAGUCACACACACACACACACACACACACACACACACACACACACACACACACACACAGCCCUGUCCUAUAGGGGUAAACAGCUCAACACACCCAAGGAGAGACACAUGAACAUUAAAUGGUCACACAGACUCACACACGUGCACGCACACACACACGCACGCACACACGUGCACACACACGCACGCACACACAGUUCCCCUUCCUGUCCGACUGGCUUUAGUACUGUGAAAACUGAGAGUCUCCUUUGCCUGUGAUUGACAGCUGAACUCCUUGUGGCCACCCGGGGGUUUUGCCCCUGUAGUUCAGGCAGCUGCCCACGUGAACUAAAGGACAGCACCUCCUCCAGGCACCUCCUUCAGGCUGUGCUGUGCAUGUCUUAACUUAAUCAGUCAAAUUAAUAAAUAAUCGUUAAUCAUCAAUAACCAGUUAUUGAUCUGCCACUGGUUGGUUAGAGGUGGCCCAGGGUUAGCAGAUGGAUUAGUUAGAGAAUGCAGGUGGCCCAGGGUUAGCAGAUGGGUUGGUUAGAGAAUGCAGGUGGCCGAGGGUUAGCAGAUGGGUUAGUUAGAGAAUGCAGGUGGCCCAGGGUUAGCAGGCAGCAGAUGGGUUAGUUAGAGAAUGCAGGUGGCCCAGGGUUAGCAGGCAGCAGAUGGGUUGGCCCUGGCCUGUCCCUCCCUAAACCAGAGUUGUUGAUUGGUUUAACCUGAGCCCUGAGCAGAGACCGCUGAAGACCUCAUCUGGAUGCGAGUCCAGUCAGUUGCUCUGUUUGUUUGCCUCUCUGAGUGAAGCUGUGUCUGAUUGUUUGAAUGUUUGUCUCCCCAGUGGCCAGUGAAGGUGUGUGUGAUUUGGAGAACACUGUAUGAGGCUUGAUCUUGAAGCCUGUGUGUCCAGGCUGUUCCCUAAUACUACUGAUGAGGUGUGAGGUGAUAAGCCUAAAUUCUAAGGAAGCACUAUGGAGGUGACCUCUGACCUCACUGAGUGACCUAUGACCUUUGACCUGAUAACUGCUGUUGUCUACUUCCUGCUCCAAGGCCUCACAUAGUUCAACUUGAUGCUUUUAUCUGUACAUUUUCAAAAAGGUUGCUGGCAAAACCCCCUGUUCUGCCUUGUCAGUGUUGGAGUCUACAGUCCUGUGCUGUAGUUGUGUGGCAGUGUGGAUGAGGGAAUGUGAAUUGUAAAUUUGACCAAAUCUUGUAGCGGAAUUCCAUGAUUUCCAAGGGCUUUGGGAAAGCACAGGGAUGCCAGCAACAGGGAUGUCUGUUGUCUUCAACCACUAGCUUUGUUUUUAUUUUUAUUUUUUUUGUUUUUAUUCUAAUUCACACUUCACCCUCCUGGUGUUGAGCUCCACAUAUCUAGAACAGAAAUGAUGAGCGAAGUGCUUUUAAAACUUUUCAUUGCUUUCAAAAUGUGCCACUCUGUGUCUGGUAGGACAUUUAAAUUAUUUUACAAUGCCAAAAUAAGGGGUUAUUUAUAUAAAGACAUAUAAAUAAAUAUACAUAUAUAUUAUAUAUUAAAUCUAGUGUGUAGUUUAAGACUAUAUUUGUUUAAGUAGAGGCUUUUUUUGCACUAGUUGAAUGUUUUCUGUCGUGCGACUUUCAUGUAGCUUGGUAGUUUGCAAAAAAAAGAUUAUUUUUGCAGAACAAUGUCAACGCUUUGAUUAGUAUCUUUUCAUUUGACCGUUUUAACUGUAGCUUGUCAGCAGCGCGUUCUGUGGGUGGUUUUGUAUUUAUAUUGUACUUGUGGAACUUCUAGCAAUGACGAUACUAAAAACAACUGUUGUUAUCCUGCUACUUUAAUACUGUUUUAUAGUAUGUGUACCAAUAAACUCUACAGGUGUUAAACGAA